rnacentral:rRNA from 1 species
CACCGCGGUUAGACGAGAGGCUUAAAUUGAUAAUUAUCGGCGUAAAGCGUGGUUAAGAAUAAUACAUACUAAAGUCGAAUCAUUUCUAAGCUGUUAUACGCACUCGAAAGUAGGAAGAACUAUUACGAAAGUAACUUUAAUACAUCUGACUCCACGAAAGCUGUGAAA